rnacentral:tRNA from 1 species
GGGCACAUGGUGUAGUUGGUUAUCACAUCCGCUUAGCACAAAGUAAUGAGCUGUUGCGGGGGGUGCUGGGUUCAAUUCCCAGUGUGUCCA